rnacentral:rRNA from 1 species
AACGAACGCUGGCGGCAUGCCUAACACAUGCAAGUCGAACGAGACCUUCGGGUCUAGUGGCGCACGGGUGCGUAACGCGUGGGAACUUGCCCUUAGGUUCGGAAUAACUCCCCGAAAGGGGUGCUAAUACCGGAUAAUGUCUUCGGACCAAAGAUUUAUCGCCUUUGGAUGGGCCCGCGUUGGAUUAGCUAGUUGGUAGGGUAAAAGCCUACCAAGGCGACGAUCCAUAGCUGGUCUGAGAGGAUGAUCAGCCACACUGGGACUGAGACACGGCCCAGACUCCUACGGGAGGCAGCAGUGGGGAAUAUUGGACAAUGGGCGAAAGCCUGAUCCAGCAAUGCCGCGUGAGUGAUGAAGGCCUUAGGGUUGUAAAGCUCUUUUAACCGGGAUGAUAAUGACAGUACCGGGAGAAUAAGCUCCGGCUAACUCCGUG